rnacentral:rRNA from 1 species
GACGAACGCUGGCGGCGUGCCUAAUACAUGCAAGUAGAACGCUGAAGAGAGGAGCUCGCUCUUCUUGGCUGAGUUGCGAACGGGUGAGUAACGCGUAGGUAACCUGCCUUGUAGCGGGGGAUAACUAUUGGAAACGAUAGCUAAUACCGCAUAACAAUGGAUGACACAUGUCAUUUAUUUGAAAGGGGCAAUUGCUCCACUACAAGAUGGACCUGCGUUGUAUUAGCUAGUAGGUGAGGUAAUGGCUCACCUAGGCGACGAUACAUAGCCGACCUGAGAGGGUGAUCGGCCACACUGGGACUGAGACACGGCCCAGACUCCUACGGGAGGCAGCAGUAGGGAAUCUUCGGCAAUGGGGGCAACCCUGACCGAGCAACGCCGCGUGAGUGAAGAAGGUUUUCGGAUCGUAAAGCUCUGUUGUAAGUCAAGAACGGGUGUGAGAGUGGAAAGUUCACACUGUGACGGUAGCCUACCAGAAAGGGACGGCUAACUACGUG